AUUCUUCUUCCUCUUCUUUUCCUUAUCCUU
rnacentral:sRNA from 1 species